GACGAACGCUGGCGGCGUGCUUAACACAUGCAAGUCGAACGGAAAGGCCCUGCUUUUGUGGGGUGCUCGAGUGGCGAACGGGUGAGUAACACGUGAGUAACCUGCCCUUGACUUUGGGAUAACUUCAGGAAACUGGGGCUAAUACCGGAUAGGAGCUCCUGCUGCAUGGUGGGGGUUGGAAAGUUUCGGCGGUUGGGGAUGGACUCGCGGCUUAUCAGCUUGUUGGUGGGGUAGUGGCUUACCAAGGCUUUGACGGGUAGCCGGGCUGAGAGGGUGACCGGCCACAUUGGAACUGAGAUACGGCCCAGACUCCUACGGGGAGCAGCAGUAGGGAAUAUUGCACAAUGGGCGGAAGCCUGAGGCAGCAACGCCGCGUGCGGGAUGACGGCCUUCGGGUUGUAAACCGCUUUCGCCUGUGACGAAGCGUGAGUGACGGUAAUGGGUAAAGAAGCACCGGCUAACUACGUG
rnacentral:rRNA from 1 species